rnacentral:rRNA from 1 species
ACCGGGGNNNCUAAUAAUGCAAGUCGAGCGGACAGAUGGGAGCUUGCUCCCUGAUGUUAGCGGCGGACGGGUGAGUAACACGUGGGUAACCUGCCUGUAAGACUGGGAUAACUCCGGGAAACCGGGGCUAAUACCGGAUGGUUGUUUGAACCGCAUGGUUCAGACAUAAAAGGUGGCUUCGGCUACCACUUACAGAUGGACCCGCGGCGCAUUAGCUAGUUGGUGAGGUAACGGCUCACCAAGGCAACGAUGCGUAGCCGACCUGAGAGGGUGAUCGGCCACACUGGGACUGAGACACGGCCCAGACUCCUACGGGAGGCAGCAGUAGGGAAUCUUCCGCAAUGGACGAAAGUCUGACGGAGCAACGCCGCGUGAGUGAUGAAGGUUUUCGGAUCGUAAAGCUCUGUUGUUAGGGAAGAACAAGUGCCGUUCAAAUAGGGCGGCACCUUGACGGUACCUAACCAGAAAGCCACGGCUAACUACGUGCCAGCCGCCCGGGUAAUUCAAAGG